UUGGAGGGCAAGUCUGGUGCCAGCAGCCGCGGUAAUUCCAGCUCCAAUAGCGUAUAUUAAAGUUGUUGCAGUUAAAAAGCUCGUAGUUGAAUUUCGGGAUUAGUACGCUGGUCGUGCCUUCGGUACGUACUGGUGUUACUGAUUCCUACCUUCUGACGAACCAUCAUGUCAUUUAUUUGGUGUGGUGGGGAAUCAGGACUGUUACUUUGAAAAAAUUAGAGUGUUUAAAGCAGGCUCGCGCUUGAAUACAUUAGCAUGGAAUAAUGAAAUAGGACGUUGAUCCUAUUUUGUUGGUUUCUAGGAUUGACGUAAUGAUUAAUAGUGAUAGUUGGGGGCAUUAGUAUUCAAUUGUCAGAGGUGAAAUUCUUGGAUUUAUUGAAGACCAACUACUGCGAAAGCAUUCGCCAAGGAUGUUUUCAUUAAUCAAGAACGAAAGUUAGGGGAUCGAAGACGAUCAGAUACCGUCGUAGUCUUAACCAUAAACUAUGCCGACUAGGGGUCGGAUGAUGUUAUUUUUAAUGACUCAUUCGGCGCCUUACGGGAAAC
rnacentral:rRNA from 1 species